GAAACUCAUAAGAAAGGAGCACAGGCUCCAGACGCGCAGGCUCAGUAGUUGUGGCUCACGGACCCAGUCGCUCCGGGGCAUGUGUGAUCUUCCCAGACCAGAGCUCGAAUCCGUGUCCCGUGCAUUGGCAGGCAGAUUCUCAACACCGCGCCACCAGGGAAACUCGGAAUAAAGCCUUUGUGUAGUCAUGAUAUUUGAUUGAUGUAGAAGGCAUGUGGCCAGAUGAUGCAAUUGAAUACUGGUGUUUUAUCUUUACAAGUUCUCCGUCAUUCCAUAAGAAAGCUGCUCGUCUUCUGGUUUCAUAAGAGAUGGUGAACAGUGGGGAUGCAGGUUCGGUCCCUGGUUGGGAAACUGAGAUCCCACAUGCUGCAAGGCAACUAAGCCCGCAUGCCGCAACUACUGAGCCCACGUGCUCUGGAGCCCACGCGCCACAACUGGAGAGCCAACGUGCCGCAAGGAAGAGCCCACGCACUGCAACAAAGAGCCCACGUGCUGCAACUAAUACCCGACACCUCCAAAAAUAAAUAAGUUAAUUAAUUAAAUAAAUUAAAUAAAAUAAUACGAGUGAAUGAACAUAAUGGAUAAUGCCUUAAGAGAAACAAACAAGAAGAGGAAAAAAUUUUUUUAAAUCAAAAAGAAGAUAAAAAGAAUUUUAGAGAAAAGGCAAACAUAAAAGAUAGGCAAAAAAGAGUCAGGACAGCUCUGAAAAGAGAAAUAUAAAUACGUAUAAGGGGCUUUCCUGGUGGUGCAGUGGUUAAGAAUCCUCCUGCCAAUGCAGGGGAUAUGGGUUCGAUCCCUGGCCCAGGAAGAUCCCACAUGCCAUGGAGAAGCUAAGCCCGUGAGACACAACUACUGAGCCUGUGUGCCACAACUACUGAAGCCCACGUGCCUAGAGCCCGUGCUCAGCAACACGAGGAGCCACCGCAAUGAGAAGCCCGCUUGCCACAACUAGAGAAAGCCUGCACACAGCAACAAAGACCCAAAGCAGCCAAAAAUAAAUAAAUAAAUAAAUACAUUAAAAAAUAUAUAUAUACGUAUAAGAAUCUGUUAUACCAUAAAAGUGACAUUUCAAAUUAGUGGGACAGAUUAGUCAACAAAUUGUGAUACAUAAAUGUUGGGGUAUAAAUAUUUCUCUGGAAGGAUCCACAGCACGGCCAAAGCAGAUGUCUCUGAGGAGGGAAAUGUGUGGCUGGGGCACGUGGAGAAAAGGGUCACUUUUCAUUGAAUUCCCUUGUGUACCUUUUCUAGUGUUCUGUCAUGUGAAUCUAUUACCUCUGAAGUUUGCCUGAGUUCAAACCCCAGUUCCCCCAAUUGCUAGCUCUUAAUCUUGGGCAAACUCUUCACACUCUCCAAGCUUCUUUAUCUGUGAAAUAAGGUCAGUAACUUAGCCUGGUGCUGCCUGGCACAGAAUAAACUCUCAAAAAAUGGACAUUAUUAGUGAAAAAACCCCAAAUGCCCAUCAGUGGAUGAAUGGAUUUUUUAAAUGUGGUGGAUAUGUGAAAUAUUAUACAGCCAUAAAAAGGAAUGAAGUACUAACACAUGCUACGACAUGGACGAACUUGAAAACAUUAUGCUAAGUGAAAGAAGCAGACACAGUGGUCACAUUUGUAUUAUUUCAUGAAAUGUCCAGAAAAGGCAAAACCAUAGCGACAGAAAGCAAAUUAAUGGUUGCCAGGACUGAAGGAAGAGGGGAUGAAGAGUGCCUGCUGAUGCUUAAGGGGGCUUCUUUUUGGAGUGAUGAAAACGUGAUGGGUUAGAUGCCAGUGAUGGUUGCAUAGGCUUGUGGAUGUACUAAAUGACACUGAAUUUGCAGUUUCAGAAGGUGAAUUUUAUGGCAUGUGAAUGACAUCUCAAAAAAAUAAUUUUGAAAAUGAAAAUUGCCAGUUUUCCCAUAGUCACUAUCCACUGUCUCCAUCUCUCCCUUCUCCCCACUGCAUUCCUUUUCACGCCCACCCCUGCCGCUCUCUCGCAUCGUCACUCCCUCGAGCUGCCCCACGAGGCCUCCCAGGGAGCCUCUGAACCCCUGGGCGCCUGCGUCCUGUGGCUGUUGGAGCUGCUGCCCAGUGCGCGUGCCCCCACCACUCUCACCGGUGAGAGUGGACGCUUCCGUCGGAUUUUUUCUCAUGCGUUUCAGUUGAUGGUGAUGUUUACAAAAGGCGGCACGUGCCCUGCUCAAUGGAGGAAGCCCCUCAAGUUAAUAUUUAGGCCCCUCCAGAAGUUUGAUCUCGUCCACCAGUAACCUCAGGAUGCUGUGCGCUGAAAGCCAGGUUGGCCGCCUACGGGCAUCUGCAAAUACAGAGGACUUCAGAGGCAUUUGGGCCUCAAAUUGAGUCCUUGUACCUCCACAUGGGAUGUGACCUCAGCCCU